AUGGCCACAUCCUGUUGAAACAUUGGUUCCCAUAAGAUUAACAAAGUUAAGCAAUGUUGAGCCUGGUCAGUACUUAGAUGGGUGACCAGUUGGAAAUA